rnacentral:rRNA from 1 species
AUUGAACGCUGGCGGCAGGCCUAACACAUGCAAGUCGAGCGAGCGGCGGACGGGUGAGUAAUGUCUGGGAAACUGCCUGAUGGAGGGGGAUAACUACUGGAAACGGUAGCUAAUACCGCAUCCCAUCAGAUGUGCCCAGAUGGGAUUAGCUAGUAGGUGGGGUAACGGCUCACCUAGGCGACGAUCCCUAGCUGGUCUGAGAGGAUGACCAGCAACACUGGAACUGAGACAAGGUCCAGACUCCGACGGGAGGCAGCAGUGGGGAAGAUUGCAAAAUGGGGGAAAGCCUGAUGCAACCAUGCCGGGGGUGUGAAGAAGGCCUGCGGGGUGGAAAGUAUGUUAAGCGGGACGACGGUACCGGAAUAGAAAGCAACGGCUAACUACGUGCCAGCAGCCGCGGUAAUAC